UCCCUGAUAUUUCAGUUGGUAAAGAAUCUGCUUGCAAUGCAGUAGACCCCGGUUCAAUUCCUGGGUUGGGAA
rnacentral:tRNA from 1 species